ensembl:lincRNA
UCUGGGCAGGGUGAUUAAGAACCAAUUAUGUCUUAACCUCUCUCUUUUUUUCCUCCAUUUGCUGCUAAAGUGAAGACUGAAGCCCUAGGCUAUUGCAGAAGUUGGGUGCCUGAAGUACACGUGGAAAUAUGCCAACUGAACAUUGGACUACCACCGCCUGCCCCUGGCUCAGCGCCCGGUGCCAACAGAACACCUUUCAGGAUCCACAGCAACGCAGACAACGGAACUCACACAGGCUUCGGUUCUCAAGAGGCCAUCAAAACAUAACUGCUGCGGAGGCAAUACCUUACCUUCCCCUCACUACACUCACAGAAUGUUCUGGAUCAGUGUGUCUCACACCUUUGGAUCUUAUAAGCUACUUGGAAAAAUUUUAA